CCACCGUGCCUGGCCAACAUCCUACUAGAACAGAGGCAUCCAGGUUUCUAGGAGGGUUAUAUCAUCAGAAAUCCACAGCAGCACAGGAAGAACACUAGAGAUAUUUAUUGAUUAGGAAGGUGAAUGACGAGGAUCUAUGCUCAAUGUUCAACUAUUGGGAGAGAAUCAAACUGGGUCAAGUGCAUAUGGCAUCCAUCUUCACACACAUUUUCCUUUUGUCAAUCAUCUUUCAUAAUUGUGUUAUAACAAGUGAAAUUACAUUAGAAAAACUUGCAAUGAUAUAAUGAAGUCCAUUCUGUUCUAAUUUCAAUGAGUAAACUGUGACAUGGCUGUAGCCAGCACCCCCAGGAAGAUCAAGUGUGGGCCCCACACACCUUCUGUUCCUGGGAGUUCAGCUACUUUGAGCAAAAUGCUUCUUGACAAGGGUGUCAGGUGGGCUGCCCAUUUCACACCCCCAGAGGGUCAGGGCAGCCUGCCUUGUGUCCCUCCACUUGGGGAAUAAGUUCUUUGGCUUCCCAUCAGAUGUUGGUGCUUCGAAUUGGAUUCCAAAAACCACAAACACACACACUAACAAAAACAAAAAGAGGCCGGGCGUGGUGGCUCAUGACUGUAAUCCCAGCACUUUGGGAGGCCAAGGUGGGUGGAUCACUUGAGGUCAGGAGUUCAAAAUCAGCCAGGCCAACAUGGUGAAACCCCGUCUGUGUUGAAAAUACAAAAACUUAGCUGGGUGUGGUGGCACACACCUGUAAUCCCAGCUACUUGGGAGGUUGAGGCAGGAGAAUCCUUGAACCUGGGAGGCGGAGGUUGCAGUGAGCCGAGAUUGUGCCAUUGCACUCCAGCCUGGUCAACAAAGCCAGACUCUGUCUCAGAAAAAAUAAAAGAGAGAGAGAGAUAGAGAGCGACAGCCACCACAGCAGUGUGCUGCUCCUCAGGCAGAGGGCGUGUUAAGACAAGGUCCUCUCCCAAAGGCUCACAGGAUGACACCUUGUCCAUACUGCAUCCGGAUACAGUCAGCCUUCCGUAUCCUCCCGCUCCAUAUCUGAGGACUCAACCAACUGCAUAUCAAAAAUAUUUGGGAAUAAGAAACAAUACAAAUAACAAUAUAAUUUUAAGGUAAUGCAAAUAAAUAAUACUGUAUAACAACUUACAUUGUACUCAGCAUUAUAAGGCAUCUAGAGAUGAUUCCUUAUAAUACAGGAGGAUGUACGUAGGUUAUCUGAAAAUACUACAACAUUUUAUAUAAGGGACAAGGCUCUGCAGAUUUUGGUAUCCAAGGGGUUGUCCUGGGACCAGCUCCCUGCCGAUACUGAGGGAUGACUGUAAUUUACAAUGAGAGGUACAUAGAAUGGGCUUGAGCCAGAUAGUGUCCUCCCAGCUUACAAAGCUCUGAGAAUAUUUCAAUAAGUUGUUUGGGGGUACGCCUCUUCUCAUUGGCUUCUGUAGGGAGUGGAGCGGUGGCCUCCUAAACGGUAUGUCCACCCAGAACCUGUGGAUGAGACCUUUGGAAAAAACAUCUUUGAAGGUGUAAUGAAGUUAAGGAUCUUGACAUGAGGUCAUCCUGGAUUUAGAACUGGCCCUGAAUGCAUUGACCAGUGUCCUAGUAAGAGAAGAGAAGGGGAGAGAGAGACAGAGAGAAGGUUAGGGAUUGGAGGGAUGCCUCUUUAAGCCAAGGAAUGCUGAGGGCUGCCGGAAGCCCCCAGGAGCUGGAGAGAGGCCUGGAACAGUGUCUCCCCCAGAACCUCCAGAAGGAACCAACCGUGACCACACCUUGAUUUCAGACUUCUAGUCUCUGGGAACUGUGAGUGGAUACAUCUCUUGUUGUGAUUCUGUUGCUCUGUUGUUGUACCCAAUGUGUGGUCAUUGCUACGGCAGCCACAGGUAGUGAAUGCACCUCCCAAGACAAGCUUUCAUUGCCCAGUGACCCCCAGCACCAGCUUUAAUCUUAGUCUCAUUUUUGUUGGAGUAUAACCAUACAUGACUGCCAGCGAAACUUAAGAUUGAAAUAAACCGGAUGCUUGCCUGAUGCUGACCUUUGAGAGGCAUUACCCUCGAUGCCAAAAGAUUAAGAGGACCUGGAAGUGCCAGUGGGCAGUGCACUGUGUCACAAAAAAUAAGAAAUAGGCCAGAUGUGAGGACUUAGGCCUGUAAUCUCAGCACUUUGGGAGGUCGAAGGGAGGAGCACUUGAGCCCAGGAAUUCAAGAUGAGCCUGGGAAAGAUGACAAAACUCUGUCUCUGCAAAAAAUUAAAAAAUUAGCUGGGCGUGUUGGCACAUGCUUGUAGUCCCAGUUACUCAGGAGGCUGAGGUAGGAGGAUGUCUUGAGCCCAGGAAGUUGAGGUGGCCAUGAGCUAUGAUCAUGCCACUUCACUCCUGCCUGGACCACAAAGAAACACCACCACCCCCAACUCUAAAGAAGAAAAAAAUGUUUUUAAAGUAAGAAAUAGAAGGUGGUUGAACGAGACCCCAGAGAACAUAUGCCCAGAAAUUGGAGAAAAUUUUGCAUGCACAGACUCAUUGUCACCAACCAUCUAAUAACCAGCAGCUUGCCUGGCAUUGCAGGUUCUUGUGGUGGUGGGUGGAGUGUGUAGGUGUUCAACGCUAAUCAUGCUAAGCUUUGCUAUGUCAACAGAUAAACUCUGAAGUCUCAGUGGUGCAACACAGCAGAAGUUUUUGUCUAGCUCACAUCACAGUUGGCUGCAGACUGAGCACAGUGACUCUAGGAAGAAGUGACUCAGGCUUCCAGGCAGUUCUCAUCUUGCCCCUCAGUUAUCUUAUUUUUUUUUAAUUUUUUAUUUUUUAUUGUUUUUGAGACAGAGUCUCAUUCUGUCACCCAGGCUGGAGUGCAGUGGCAUGAUCUCGGCUCACUGCAAUUUCUGCCUCCUGGGUUCAAGCGAUUCUUCUGCCUCAGCCUCCUGAGUAGCUGGGACUACAGGUGCACGCCACCACGCCCAACUGAUUUUUGUAUUUUUAGUAGAGACGGGGUUUCGCCAUGUUGGCCAGGCUGGUCUCAAACUACUGACCUCAAGUGAUCCAUCUGCCUCAACCUCCCAAAGUGCUGGGAUUACAGGUGUGAGCCACUGCGCCCAGCCUCCUUCAGUUAUCUUAGAAUCCAUUGCUCUCCACUCCCCUCUCCAGAGGGGAAUGGAAGCAAGGAGAAUGGAUAUUCUCUUGGAACUGUCCUUUUCCCCUCUAGUUACAUUGGUAAGAACCAGUGGCAUGGUCCCAUCUCGAUCCAUGGGUCUGAGAAAGGGGAGACAUGUGAGUGUGCAGGGGCGCAGGGAGAUUCUGCCUCAGUGGGCGUGGAAGGGACCAGGAGGGGUUGUGAUGUCGGGUGUAGGUAGUGACUGCCAGCAUCUCUUGAGACUGCACAUCACCUCGGGUCAUGCAUGCAGCUAUUCCGAGGUCCAAGCAUCUUAAGAUUCUAAAAAAAAAAAAAAGGUUACGAAAGUCAUGGAUACUGAGAGAUGUCCUUGAAAUCUGACAAAACAAGUCUCAUGAAUAUGUGAGGCCACACCAGCAACCAACUGGUAUUGCUGUUUCCCUUCCUGCCCCAUGUGCUGGCAGGGGCCGUUGCAAUAGCCACGUCAUGAAGGCAGAGCUGCGCAUUUUCCAGGUGCUCUCCAGCUGUGGGCAUGCAUUUCCCUUCUGUAGCGUUCACCCUCUACACUGGGUUCGGCAAGUGUACAUGCGAGGGCAGCCUAUCACGCGUUGCAUCUGUCUUCUGCAAUACUGAAACCAUGGCUUCGUUCCUUGCUACUCAGACCAGCAGGGUCAGCAUCACCAGGCAGCUUGUUAGAAGUACAGAAGUUUGGGCCCCACCUGGGCCUAAUAAACAAGACUUGGUGUUUUUCUAGCAAGUGCUCCAGGUGAGUCCUAUGUGUAUUACAGUUUGAGAAGCAAAGAUCUAUAGAAUGUGUUCAUUCCAGAGCAAGUCAGUAAGAACGGUAGAUUAAUGUCUAACUUGAAUGGUGUUGAUCAUAAUCCUAAAAGGGAACCGGAUAGACAAGAGUUAAUCUGAGUUUAAGAAGAUCCAGACACAAAGACCGAUCUGGAAGAUCAACUUGGUCAAGGAAGAACAACUUGGAAACACAAGAACCCUUUUUACAGACUAUUGAGUCCUUGGCUGAACUAUAAUGAUGAAUGAGUUCCUUAUAGGAGUAUAAGAGUGUAAAUGUGCACACAGGUAGACAUUCAAAUGCUUUCAUUUGGCAAAGCACCUGCAAUUGGAAUCAGCAUCCUGACUUUACUGUAAGACAAACGGCAAAGUCACAGCCUACACCAUGGAGUGCUGUUCUGGAAUCAGUGCAUAUUUCUGGGAGUGUGAAAACCUAAGAUCUGAAAGAUGAAAGAAGAAAUGUUAGAAAUCAUUGGUCAAUGGCACCAGGCUGUUUUUUUCUUUUCUUUUUUUUUUUUUUUUUCUCCCAGGCCUGUUCAACCCUUGAGUCUUACCAGAGGAACCCUCUAAUGUGAUUUAGUACUCAAGGGCCCAACUGUAGCAGUUAAAGUGGAUAACAGAAACUCAAACAAGCCCUCGUUAAUAACUUAAUUAAAUCUGCCUGGGAUAUCAUUUUCCUUGGCUGUUCAAAUUUAGUCGUAUAAGAAUGGCAGUCUCUACUGGGUACAAACAAGUAAACUGUGAUAUCACUUAUCAUUCUCAUCAGGCUGGCUAGAAAGGAAUCCGUUCCUAAGGAUCUUUCAAGAUGACAAGUCUUGUCAGAUAAGGUACUAUGUUUGGGUGGG
rnacentral:lncRNA from 1 species